rnacentral:tRNA from 1 species
UCGAGGUGGGUACGAGAGUCGAACUCGUCUAUACGGCUUUGCAGGCCGCUGCCUAACCGCUUGGCUAACCCACC